UCUUGGUCCAUUAGAGGAAGUAAAAGUCGUAACAAGGGUUCCGUAGGUGAACCUGCGGAAGGAUCAUUAUCGUAUAACGGAGGUGCCGGGGCUGUCGCUAACUUUUUGUGCACGCCCUGGUGGUCUCUUACAAUCCAUCUUACCCUUUUGUGCAUCACCGCGUGGGGUGCUCUCCUUUUAAAAAGGGGGCAUUCGCGCUUUUUAACAAACCCAUCGCAUGUGUAGAAUGUCUUACUAUUUGUGAUAACAAUACAACUUUCAACAACGGAUCUCUUGGCUCUCGCAUCGAUGAAGAACGCAGCGAAAUGCGAUACGUAAUGUGAAUUGCAGAAUUCAGUGAAUCAUCGAAUCUUUGAACGCACCUUGCGCCCCUUGGAAUUCCGAGGGGCACACCCGUUUGAGUGUCGUGAACUCCUUCAACCUUUCUUAGUUUCUCGACUAAGAAAGGCUUGGACUUUGGAGGUUGCUGGCAUCCAGCUCCUCUUAAAUCGAUUAGUAGGGUCUGCUUUGCACAUCCUUGACGUGAUAAGAUGUUUCUACGUCUUGGGUUCCGCACUGGCACUUUACACCUUGCUUCUAACCAAAAGUUAUGAACCUGACCUCAAAUCGGGGGAGCCUCCCGGUUAACCUUAUCCUUAUCAUUAACCGGAAGGAAACC
rnacentral:rRNA from 1 species